UUCCUGUGCUUGCUUUGGAAAUCUAAAAUUGAAACUACACAGAGAAGAAUAACAGGGCCCCUGUGUGAGGAUGACAUGCAAACUCGUGAAGGUUUCCAUAUUUUU
ensembl:snRNA U6 U6 spliceosomal RNA